UACGUAGGGUGCAAGCGUUGUCCGGAAUUAUUGGGCGUAAAGAGCGUGUAGGCGGCCUCGUAAGUCCGCUGUGAAAGUCCAGGGCUCAACCCUGGAAAGCCGGUGGAUACUGCGAGGCUAGAGUCCGGAAGGGGCGAGUGGAAUUCCUGGUGUAGCAGUGAAAUGCGUAGAGAUCAUGAGGAAGACCAGUGGCGAAGGCGGGUCUCUGGACAGUUCCUGACACUGAGGCACGAAGGCCAGGGGAGCAAACGGG
rnacentral:rRNA from 1 species